rnacentral:rRNA from 1 species
UACGGAGGGUGCAAGCGUUAUCCGGAUUCACUGGGUUUAAAGGGUGCGUAGGUGGGCAGGUAAGUCCGUGGUGAAAUCUCUGAGCUUAACUCAGAAACUGCCGUGGAUACUAUCUGUCUUGAAUAUUGUGGAGGUAAGCGGAACAUGUCAUGUAGCGGUGAAAUGCUUAGAUAUGACAUAGAACACCAAUUGCGAAGGCAGCUUACUGCACAGUAAUUGACGCUGAGGCACGAAAGCGUGGGGAUCAAACAGG